GGAUGCUGCUCAAGUGGUAGGACACUGGCCUAGUACAAGGCCCUGGAUUCUAUCCCCUGGCUGGCUAGGCGGGUGUCCCCUUCUUCCCUCACCACUCCCGAUGCCUUCUUCCCGAAGCUGUGCUUCCUCCACAGAGAACCAUUCUUCAGUCUAGGGUAUAUGAGUAGUGUGCUCCCCUGUUAGAACCUCCAAAUAAGCUCUCAAGAAAAGAGUUGAUUGGGAGCGGCAGGAGAUUGUCACAUGGGGUGCACAUGACAUGGUAUACCACAAAGGCCAUCGACAGAUUCAGAAGGGCGAAGAAGGUUAUGUAAGCUGUUCU
rnacentral:snRNA from 1 species